rnacentral:tRNA from 1 species
CGUUGAGGUGGGCGACGACGGUGACGUUGGCGCCACCGGGCACGGUGACGUCGUUGGCCUCGAUGACCGCGGCGCCGUUCGGGCCGGCGCCCGCCGCC